AGCUCGAGGAGAGGCAGAGCGAUUGGGCUUAUUUUAAGCCUAGACAUUCACGGUCUUUGUCGGCGACUUUACAGCCUAGACAUUCACGGUCUUUGUUGCAAACAUCGUCUUUCUUCUCAUUUGAUUCAUUGCCGCUAUUAAAUUCAGCCGCCGAUUUUGGUGUUGAUGGAGGAGAAGUUCCGUUUUGGUGUCGAUUGAGGUUUCAGAUUGGUCUAAUUUGGUGAAGGAAUAACCGAGAGAAGGCUUUGUACAAUUGAGAUGGAAUCAAAACGAUUGGUUUGGCGCAAUUCCAGGAGCGUUGAAGGAGCUGCAAGAAUCACGUUGGAGGAUGGUAGAACGAUGCCACAAAGUUCUUGUUCGAAAGGCGCUGGAAGUGAUUACAAGUUUAUAGAUGGAUGGAAUUUGUAUGUCUUGAUUUCACGGUAUCUUUCAAAUUGUUUCUAAUCGUGCCUGUUAUUUGGUAUUAUGGAUUGCAGAUACUAUAACUCACUUCCACCAAUAACCAAGGUUUUACAUGUUUCAGUUGAUUGAUAAUGUGCAUACCUUCAUAAAAGGGAUUUGACUGAAUGGGAGGAAAUUCAAUGAAGAUGUUGCAAAUUACGUGUAUGUUGAUUUUUGCAAUCAUAUUGUUGAAAGUUUUCUUUGUUUUUAUAUCGUGUAAAGAGUUUAUGCAUAUUGUGAUAAUUAGAUAUAAGUUAAUAG